rnacentral:rRNA from 1 species
AACGAACGCUGGCGGCAGGCUUAACACAUGCAAGUCGAACGCACUCUUCGGAGUGAGUGGCAGACGGGUGAGUAACGCGUGGGAAUCUACCCAGCCCUUCGGAAUAGCUCCGGGAAACUGGAAUUAAUACCGAGUACGCCUACGGGGGAAAGGAUUUAUCGGGGUUGGAUGAGCCCGCGUUGGAUUAGCUAGUUGGUGGGGUAAUGGCCUACCAAGGCGACGAUCCAUAGCUGGUCUGAGAGGAUGAUCAGCCACACUGGGACUGAGACACGGCCCA